rnacentral:rRNA from 1 species
UACGAAGGGGGCUAGCGUUGCUCGGAAUUACUGGGCGUAAAGGGCGCGUAGGCGGGCUGCCAAGUCUGGGGUGAAAUCCCACGGCUCAACCGUGGAACUGCCUCGGAUACUGGCGGCCUCGAGGGAGGUAGGGGCGUGCGGAACUGUGGGUGGAGCGGUGAAAUGCGCAGAUAUCAGGAGGAACACCGAUUGCGAAGGCAGCUCGCUGGAACGUUACUGACGCUGAGACGCGAAAGCGUGGGGAGCAAACAGG